UUCUUCAUUACAAAAUAUAUGGUGAUCUCCACCCUGCUUCCAUUUAAUUGGAGUUUUGCCAAAAACUUAUACAGGUAGCUCAGGUCCAAAUUCAUUAACAGAAUGGAAAGAUUUACUCUAAAUGUGGGAUGUAGUAGAAAAAUGUUUUGGAGUUACUUUUACAUGGUAAGCAUGUCCUAGCUUGAUGAGGCUGUUUCUUGAACCUAAACUGUAAACAAAGAGCCACACAAAGUUGCAAACCGGUGUAUGGGAUGCUGGAUACAUGCUUAGAAAUUAUGAGAAAAGCUAAUCCUAAAAUACAAUCUUCACCUCACUGAAGUUGGUGAAAACAUUUUCCAUGUAUUUGACUGGUGUCAGGAUUUUAUGCUAGGUACUUACUCUCUUACUUUACAGGAGUUAAUGCAUACUCUGAAAAAUGUUUCAGCACUCUUUCUCCUCAGUUCUUCCUGUUCCUCUGUGAUAAACUGAGUCUUAAAACACUUUCCUAAACCUUCUUCAUAUCCAUGCCCCCUUUUAAAUGAGAAACUCAGUAGAUAUCCCUCCAGCAUUCUGCUUGAGCAACACCAUUGGCAUCACUUUCACACUGUUAGUCAUAAUACACACUGGUAUGAUGUCUUCAAUGAGAAUUUCAAAGCACUUAGCAAAUAUUAAUUAAGUAUUGCGUCUCUGUGAGGUAUGUAAGUAAUUAAUUUUAUAAGCCAACGCCAUGUAAAGGAGAGAGAAGGGUGGAUUCUCACAUAAGUGCAUAGCCUCUUAUUCGUUUACAGUUAUUUUCUUCACGGGUGUCUAGACUUGAAGUUCCCAAUGCAGGUUUUGUAAUGGCCCCAGCAACAGGAAUACUUGUGAAGCUGAACUGCAAGACACCUCUCACAUUUCCAUUAUGUGAAAGGAUGUUGAUUCAACUUUGUAGUAAGGUGGAGUUACAGUAAAUCAAGGCACUAGAGAAGACAGGUGAAGAAUUUAAGACUUGAGCUUCCCUGCCUUCAGUUCUUAAUAACAGAUGUUCCUAAUCUUCUGUUGCCCCAUGUUUGUUUUUCUACAGAUAGAGAAGAACUUUCUGGAUGUUGCAGGCUUCUUCUUCCCAUACACAUUUACCCUUUCUGCCUGGAAAUCAAAUUUAGGUAGAUUUUGAGGACUUCAUUAAAAAUUCAGGGCUUUCUGGAUGCUUGGUAGGUGUAGGAAGCAGACAUUCCUGAACUAGUUGCUGCAUGCCUGGAAACCGUGGACAUAAGGACUGUGAGCAUGCUCUGCAGUCACAGAACAUGAAGCAGCCUAGCGGGAACAGCUGUCUGUGUGCCGUGCUCUCUUGCCGUGCAUAGUAAAUCCGAAACUCUUCAGAAACAGCAGACUUGCUGUAAACAUGUUGUGUAGCUACUAGGACUGUGCAGUCUGCCUCAUACUUUCAGGAGGGAACUAUGCAGUUAUUUGCAUAUAGAUCAUACAUCCGCUCGUUCCUGGGUGUGCUGCAGCUGCUGCAUAUGCACUUUGCUGCCCGUGAAAUCCUCUGUAGGCACAGGGGAUUCCUACCCCUAACGCUUGCUUCCUUAUAUCUACACUCUUCCACAGCAACAUUGAUCAGGACUCAUUCCACUUCUUCCUUUGAUUUCCCUUUUCCCUCUAAUGACAAAUACUUGGAGUAAUGUAGUACUUCCACGAGACACCCUGAGACAAUUUCACAGUUUGCUGCUGCCAAAAGAGAGAGGUGGCAGUUCCCAGUCCCUAUGGUCCUGGUCAUCCUGAUGCUCCCAUUGUGUAGGUUCUGGUGUGUGCUGGGUCUUUUGACUUACUAGCCUGGAAGAA